rnacentral:rRNA from 1 species
AUUGAACGCUGGCGGCAGGCCUAACACAUGCAAGUCGAGCGAGAGGCGGACGGGUGAGUAAUAUAUGGGGACUGCCCGUUAGAGGGGGGUAACUACAGGAAAAGGUAGCUCAUACCGCAUACUAUAGGCUAACCCCCAUGGGAUUAGCUAGUAGGUGAGGUAAUGGCUCACCUCGGCGACGCUCCCUAGCUGGUCUGAGAGGAUGAUCAGCCACACUGGGACUGAGACACGGCCCAGACUCCUACGGAGGCAGCAGUGGGGAAUAUUGCACAAUGGGCGCAAGCCUGAUGCAGCCAUGCCGCGUGUAUGAAGAAGGCCCUAGGGUUGUAAAGUACUUUCAGUCGGGAGGCGUUACCGACAGAAGAAGCACCGGCUAACUCCGUGCCAGCAGCCGCGGUAAUAC